rnacentral:rRNA from 1 species
CCUACGGGUGGCAGCAGUGAGGAAUAUUGGUCAAUGGGCGUAAGCCUGAACCAGCCAAGUCGCGUGAGGGAUGAAGGUUCUAUGGAUCGUAAACCUCUUUUAUAAGGGAAUAAAGUGCGGGACGUGUCCCGUUUUGUAUGUACCUUAUGAAUAAGGAUCGGCUAACUCCGUGCCAGCAGCGGCGGUAAUACGGAGGAUCCGAGCGUUAUUCGGAUUUAUUGGGUUUAAAGGGUGCGGAGGCGGCCUUUUAAGUCAGCGGUGAAAGUAUGUGGCUCAACCAUAGAAUUGCCGUUGAAACUGGGCGGCUUGAGUAUGUUUGAGGCAGGCGGAAUGCGUGGUGUAGCGGUGAAAUGCAUAGAGAUCACGCAGAACCCCGAUUGCGAAGGCAGCAUACCGGUGAACAACUGACGCUCAGGCACGAAAGCGUGGGUAUCGAACAGGAUUAGAUACCCCUGUAGUC